UACGGGGGGGCAAGCGUUGUUCGGAAUUACUGGGCGUAAAGGGCGCGUAGGCGGUCAGAUAAGUCAGCUGUGAAAACCUCGGGCUUAACCCGAGGCCUGCAGUUGAAACUGUCUGGCUGGAGUGUGGGAGAGGAGAGUGGAAUUCCCGGUGUAGCGGUGAAAUGCGUAGAUAUCGAGAGGAACACCUGCGGCGAAGGCGGGUUGCUGGGCCGACACUGACGCUGAAGUGCGAAAGCUAGGGGAGCGAACGGG
rnacentral:rRNA from 1 species